CCUUGCGUGCCGUGUCCAGCGAGGGCGCGGGCAGGUAGCGGGUGAGAUGAAUCAGGCAGCAGCGCCCAGAAUACGCUGGGAGCCCUGAGGGGCCCGCGGGAGGCUUCCACAGCAACCAAGCAGACGGAAGGCUCUGGGAUGUUAGGAGGAAAAGUAGAAACGAAAAGUGAGAGCCACUAACUUCCUGACUUGGAAGGCCAGGCUGGAGCCCAAGACGGCUUUGCAGACCCCGAGUGUGUCCAGUGUGUGAGCCAAGUGCUGUCUCUGGGGAUGAAGCCAACAGCUCGGCUCUGCCCAUGUCAGCCGCCUGGCGCGGGAGCCAGCUGAGCAGGACCGGCGCUGCCCCAAGGCGGAGGCCAGGCGUGUCUCUGGUCAGGCCGGCUGAGCAGCCACGCCCAAUGUCACCAGGUGUCCCCGUGGCCGGGCACCUCCCUGGCUGGGCUAUGCGUGCUGGCCCGCUCUGCGAAUGCGCUUUGGGCCCUUAUUUCCUCUUUGAAUCUGUUUCUGAAAAACAUAUUCUUUCAGGUGAAAAAACAGUUUAUGUUUUUUAGGAUGAUGAUUUGAAAUAAAGCAAAUAUUGGUGACCUGCUCUGCAGAUUGUUACAGAGAGCUGUGAAAGAGCCACAGACAAUCUACUCUAACCACAGUUCUGUUUAUCGUUCUGUAAAAGCAGCCACCUUUGGGAUUUGUUUCUGUGAGUGGUAUCAAUUCCCCAAAGAGAUCAGCAUAAAAAGGCGAUUAAAAGAAUUUUGUGUGAUUUUUGCUUUUAAAGUAAAAUCUUGGUAAACCAA